CUCACUUAAAGGCUGUCAGUAGAGGUGAGGGCAUCUCUUGUUGGAGAUCCCUGCUUACCUGAGGCCUUCCAAAGGCAGCUGGGAUAUUUCGCUGCAUGACCAUGAUGUUGAGGGCAACCGUAAGGCAACCUUUCAAUAAUCAAGAUCCUGUUUUCUUGCACUUUGUACAUCACAAUAUUAUCAUGGGUAAAAUGAAGAGUGUUUCUCAGAAGUAUGCCUUGUGAUUUCUGGCCUGCUCAGACUGCCUGCUUCUUCCAGAUGAGAUGAUGUGACAAAUAAAUACUUAAGAUCUCUGAGAAGUACUCUGCCAUGAGUCUCCCCAGCAGAAGACAGGGUCAGGGGACCUGGCUGUGCCCAUUCCCUGUUUGCACCACAUUAGGAACUGCCUGGGGUCUGCUGGGCCUGACCCAUACCACCUCUCCAAAUCCCAUGAUCUGAAGAGGAAGGGCAAUGUGAUGCUUCAGGGAGUGACCAGAAUUCUGGCUCCCAGCAUGUAGGUGCUCGUUUUGUUAUUUAUUCCAUGUCUCCUCAGUAUUUUCAGCCCUGUUUGCUUAGUUGGUGUUGAAGGACACAAACCACAGCGCUGCAGAGGAGCCCCUGGGAAGCUCUGAGAUGGCUGCGGGCCCACACACUAUAUCUGUGACAGUUUGUGCCAGAGCAUUAUGGCUGCACGCAAAGCAGCAGAUGAAUUAUGUGUGUGACAAGCUGAGGAGGAACAGUGGCCACGGCCUGACAUUUUCCUGCCUGCUGAGCACAGCUUGCAAGGGGAGGAGAGCCAAUGGGAUGACACGAGGCUGUUUGUCACAGUGCGUGCUUGCUGUCCCUUGUGCUGGCUGCAUCCUUUGCUCACAGUUCUACCAUUGGCUGCAUGCCUAUUUCUGGGCUAAACUACACAGCCGGGGUCACUGGGCCUUGACCUGUUCCUGCAGCACAGUUGUGGCCUGGGCAGCUGGUACUCUCCCCACAAAAAGUCCUGGGUGCAAUUAGGGUUAGACACUAGCAGGGACAGGCAGUUUGGGUUUAACUACCUUAUUGCAGAGAGGAGUGGUGUUUAGCAGAAUGGAAGUGACUAAAUGGCACAAAGUAGCAGCUAGAUCCCUUUCCUGGCUCUCAGGCCAUUUAAUUUACUGCUGUAACAAUAGCCUGCAAGUUCAAUGAGUUUGGAGGCACUUAUCCUUCCUGCCUGUGGAACAGGAAGCUCCUGGCCCCUGUCAACUGCCUUUUCCAAAGUGUUUUUGAAAGAUUAUAGCAUGAGUGGAAAAAUACCUUUCAAAAAUUAUCUAAUUGAUCCCCUUCUAGUUAGUCCCAUCUAAGCUCAGAAUUCCCCAUCAGACUUGUUAGGCUUAAAAGAAAAAAAAAAAAAAGAUACUCUCCAUUCUUCUUCAAAUCCUUGAACUGGCACUCAUAGAAUCACAGCAUCAUAUAAUAGCUUGGGUUGGAAAUGACCUCAAAGCCUAUGCAGCUCUACCCCAGCCAUAGGCUGGGUGUGCCCCACCAGGUCAGGGCCCAGGGCCCCAUCCGGCCCAGUCCUGAACAUCUCCAGGGAUGGGGCACACACAGCUCUCCCGGCAGCAGUGCCAGUGCCUCACCCCUUCCCCCCCACCCCUUUUUCUGGGAUGAAGCAAACUGUUUAACUUGUAUCAUUCCCAUUUGAUAAGUAUGCAAACACUUAUUUUCAAGUAACGUGUUUUGUUAUGUAAACAACUACUUCAGGAUUAAUUUUUUAAAUUGCAUCAGGAAGUUAUUAGCACCAGAACGCACUCUUUAAUGGGGGGGAAAAAAAAGUCCUUUAUUAGCACAUUCUAAUUGACGUUUCAUUAAGUAGCACAGGAACGCUUCUACAGCUGUGGGACAAAUCAUCAGCUCUUCAUGGAGUUUUGGAGCCACAGAUUUUCCCCUAAUAAGGCUCAGGCAGCAUGUAUCUGUCGUCUGCUGCAAUUCCUGCCAACUUGUGAAAAAGCAUUGGAAAAACUGUUUUGUGUUAACAG
ensembl:lncRNA